UCAAACUUGGUCAUUUAGAGGAAGUAAAAGUCGUAACAAGGUUUCCGUAGGUGAACCUGCGGAAGGAUCAUUAUCGAGUUUUCGGGGGGAGGCCCGGUUCUGGGGCUCCCCCCUCUGAAACUUUUUUUUUCUCACACACCUCUGUGCACCAUGAUGAGAUUGUGUGGGGCUUUUAAAGACCCCUCGCGAUCUGAUUGCAAACCUUCCAUAAAAGCGAGAAAGUUUGAAUCGUAAAAAGCAUAACUUUCAACAACGGAUCUCUUGGUUCUCGCAUCGAUGAAGAACGCAGC
rnacentral:misc_RNA from 1 species